ensembl:lncRNA
CAAGGACAUCAACCACCCGAGCCACUGCCUGUUCACCCCGCUGUCAUCCAGAAGGCGAGGGUGCAGCAGCAUAUAUAGUCAACUAUCUGAUGUUCAUGUUCUGGGCUCUACUCCCUUUCCUGGCUGUUAUAUUGGUCUGGGCCUUUGCAUCUUACGCCUGUGGAUCAGGAAUACCAGAGGAAAGAACACUCAUCCUGGCCACUACCCGGUGCUAGAGGUCCUGGUUGUAACUGGAGCUACAGCCCCACUAUCCUUCCCUAACAGGUAGUUAUAAUGUGUGCCAGUAUAACAUGUACUAAUGCACUACCAGUGGUGUGUAAUAGCACACACAUACA